rnacentral:tRNA from 1 species
UAGAUGGAAGCCUGUUGGUUUAGGUGCUUAGCUGUUAACUAAGAGUUUGUAGGAUCAAGGCCUGCUCGUCUAG